rnacentral:tRNA from 1 species
GGUGAGGUGGCCGAGAGGCUGAAGGCGCUCCCCUGCUAAGGGAGUGUGCGGUCAAAAGCUGCAUCCGGGGUUCGAAUCCCCGCCUCACCGCCA